rnacentral:misc_RNA from 1 species
AAGGAUGAUUUUCAAAAUCCUCUGCAAGAGCAUAGCAAAAUCAUCUACAGAACAACGUUUCGCUUCCAAUUUUCAACAGAUUUUAUCACUUUGAUGGUAAAAGGUGAAGUGUAAAGUUAAUUGUGCGUGUAUUAUAUCUCUAUAACUCUUGCUUUCAGUUAGCAUAGUUAAAUUGAACUUUAGAAACCAUAAGAUCACUUGAUGUUGGAAUGACAAAAUCUUACAAUGAAAAUAGCAUACAAAAAACUCAAUGGCUCAAUUCAGAUCCACAAUUACUUAAAAACAUAGGGAGUUCUCAAUGGGUUCGCUAUUUUCCACUGGUUUCACCCUCAAGUUAGGUUUUUGCGUUACCAAGAAGAAUGAAAGUGCAAAUUCAAUCCGAAAUAGCACAAGCUCAACACACAUCUAAUAAAACAUUAGUGAUCAACGCUUUGCCUCAGAACCCAGAAAGGAAAAAGAAAAAGAUGAGUGAGAAUGUGUUCACCUGAAGCUGGA